UCAAGUUAUUAAGGGUGCAGGGCGGAUGCCUUGGCACUAGGAGCCGAUGAAGGACGUGAUAAGCUGCGAUAAGCUUCGGGGAGUUGCACGUAAACUUUGAUCCGAAGAUUUCCGAAUGAGGAAACUCACUUAGAGUAAUGUCUAAGUAUCAUUAAGUGAAUACAUAGCUUAAUGAGGGGAACUCAGGGAACUGAAACAUCUAAGUACCUGAAGGAAGAGAAAGAAAUUCGAUUCCGUAAGUAGCGGCGAGCGAACGCGGAUUAGCCCAAACCAAUAAAGUUUUCUUUAUUGGGGUUGCGGACAUAUCAUAACGAAGAGGUAUCGUAAUUGAAGAGGUUUGGAAAGACCCACCACAGAAGGUAAUAGUCCUGUAUGUUAAACGAGAAGACUUCAGAUAUGAUCCAGAGUACCACGGGACACGUGAAACCCUGUGGGAAGCAGGAGGGACCACCCUCCAAGGCUAAAUACUACCUAGUGACCGAUAGCGUAUAGUACCGUGAGGGAAAGGUGAAAAGAACCCCGGGAGGGGAGUGAAAUAGAACCUGAAACCCUGCACUUACAAGCUGUGGAAGCACAUUUCUUGUGUGACCGCGUACUUUUUGUAGAACGGGCCAACGAGUUACGUUAAGUAGCAAGGUUAAGCACUUAAGGUGCGGAGCCGUAGCGAAAGCGAGUUUUAACUGAGCGUUCAGUUACUUGACGUAGACCCGAAACCGGGCGACCUACCCAUGAGCAGGAUGAAGCGAAAGUAAAAUUUCGUGGAGGUCCGAACCCACGAGCGUUGAAAAGCUCGGGGAUGACUUGUGGGUAGCGGUGAAAUUCCAAUCGAGCCCGGAGAUAGCUGGUUCUCCCCGAAAUAGCUUUAGGGCUAGCCUCAAGGUGAGAGAUACGGAGGUAGAGCACUGAAUGUCCUAGGGGGUAUUGCACCUACCGAAGACUAUCAAACUCCGAAUGCCGUCAUCUUAUACUUGGGAGUCAGACUGUGGGUGAUAAGAUUCAUAGUCGAAAGGGCAACAGCCCAGAUCGUCAGCUAAGGUCCCUAAAUGUAAGUUAAGUGGUAAAGGAUGUGGGAUUGCACAGACAACCAGGAUGUUGGCUUAGAAGCAGCCACUCAUUCAAAGAGUGCGUAAUAGCUCACUGGUCGAGUGAUCCUGCGCCGAAGAUUUCCGGGGCUAAAACUUACUACCGAAGCUACGGCAUCAUUAUGAUGGGUAGGGGAGCUUCCCAUACGGGUUGAAGCAUGACCGUAAGGACAUGUGGACAGUAUGGGAGUGAGAAUGUUGGCAUGAGUAGCGAGAUGUGGGUGAGAAUCCCACAGGCCGUAAACCCAAGGUUUCCAGGGGAAGGUUCGUCCGCCCUGGGUUAGUCGGGACCUAAGCUGAGGCCGAAAGGCGUAGGUGAUGGACAACAGGUUGAUAUUCCUGUACUACCGAUAACCGUUUGAGAGAAGGGAUGACACAGUAGGAUAAGCUAAGCACACUGUUGGUUAUGUGUGCCCAAGCAUUGAGGCAGUCAAAGUAGGCAAAUCCGCUUUGAUAAUGCUGGGAUGUGAUGGGGAGCGAAAUUUAGUAGCGAAGUAGCUGAUUUCACACUGUCAAGAAAAGUCUCUAUCGAGGUUAAAGGUACCCGUACCGCAAACCGACACAGGUGGGUGAGGAGAGUAUCCUAAGGCCAGCGAGAGAACUGUUGUUAAGGAACUCGGCAAAAUGACCCCGUAACUUAGGGAUAAGGGGUGCCACCAUCCGGUGGCCGCAGAGAAUAGGCCCAAGCGACUGUUUACCAAAAACAUAGGUUUCUGCUAAGUCGCAAGACGAUGUAUAGGAGCUGACGCCUGCCCGGUGCUGGAAGGUUAAGGGGAUCUGUUAGAGCAAUCGAAGCAGUGAACUUAAGCCCCAGUAAACGGCGGCCGUAACUAUAACGGUCCUAAGGUAGCGAAAUUCCUUGUCGGGUAAGUUCCGACCCGCACGAAAGGCGUAACGAUUUGGGCACUGUCUCAACAACAGACUCGGUGAAAUUGUAAUUCCGGUGAAGAUGCCGGAUACCUGCGACAGGACGGAAAGACCCCAUGGAGCUUUACUGUAGCUUGACAUUGGGUCUUGGUACUACAUGUACAGGAUAGGUGGGAGGCUUUGAAACCAGGACGCCAGUUUUGGCGGAGCCAUCCUUGGGAUACCACCCUUGUAGUACUGGGACUCUAACCAUAGGCCAUGAAUCUGGUCUUGGGACACUGUCAGGUGGGCAGUUUGACUGGGGCGGUCGCCUCCCAAAAGGUAACGGAGGCGCUCAAAGGUUCUCUCAGUACGGUCGGAAAUCGUACGUAGAGUGUAAAGGCAAAAGAGAGCUUGAUUGCAAGACAUACAGGUCGAGCAAGGAUGAAAAUCGGACUUAGUGAUCCGGUGGUUCUGCGUGGAAGGGCCAUCGCUCAACGGAUAAAAGCUACCCUGGGGAUAACAGGCUUAUCUCCCCCAAGAGUCCACAUCGACGGGGAGGUUUGGCACCUCGAUGUCGGCUCAUCACAUCCUGGGGCUGUAGUAGGUCCCAAGGGUUGGGCUGUUCGCCCAUUAAAGUGGUACGCGAGCUGGGUUCAGAACGUCGUGAGACAGUUCGGUCCCUAUCCGUCGCAGGCGUAGGAAAUUUGAGAAGACCUGUCCUUAGUACGAGAGGACCGGGAUGGACGUACCUCUGGUGUACCAGUUGUUCUGCCAAGGGCAUGGCUGGGUAGCUAUGUACGGAAUGGAUAAGCGCUGAAAGCAUCUAAGCGCGAAGCCAACUUCAAGAUAAGAUUUCCCACCGCAAGGGUAAGACCCCAGAAAGACUAUCUGGUUGAUAGGUCGAAGGUGUAAGUGCAGCAAUGUAUUUAGCUUAUCGAUACUAAUAGGUCGAGGACUUGACCAA
rnacentral:rRNA from 1 species